rnacentral:rRNA from 1 species
CCUACGGGAGGCAGCAGUGGGGAAUAUUGGACAAUGGGGGCAACCCUGAUCCAGCCAUGCCGCGUGUGUGAAGAAGGCCCUCGGGUUGUAAAGCACUUUCAGUGAGGAAGAACGCCUGGUGGUUAAUACCCAUCAGGAAAGACAUCACUCACAGAAGAAGCACCGGCUAACUCCGUGCCAGCAGCCGCGGUAAUACGGAGGGUGCGAGCGUUAAUCGGAAUUACUGGGCGUAAAGCGCGCGUAGGUGGCUUGAUAAGCCGGUUGUGAAAGCCCCGGGCUCAACCUGGGAACUGCAUCCGGAACUGGCAAGCUAGAGUGCGGAAGAGGAAGGUAGAAUUCCCGGUGUAGCGGUGAAAUGCGUAGAGAUCGGGAGGAAUACCAGUGGCGAAGGCGGCCUUCUGGACUGACACUGACACUGAGGUGCGAAAGCGUGGGUAGCAAACAGGAUUAGAUACCCCGGUAGUC